GUCACAAGCUCAAUCGGUAGAACAUGAGACCCUUAAUCCCAGGGUUGUGAGUUCGAUCCCCACAUUGGGGAAAAGACU